GGAGCUGCAGGGGGAAGCUGGGAGCCCUCGGCUCUCUGGGGCCAGGGAGUGGAAAGCCUGGCAGCCCGACUCUGGUGAAGCCCGCAUUCUGCCUGCCUGCUUUCCUCCGGGUCUCCGAAACCCCCUCCCCAGCGGCAGGACGCGGUGUGGGGGGCAGGAGGGGGGGCCGCAAAAGACACCCGUCCCCACAGGCCAACAAGAACUGUCGCCAACUGCAAGAGAACAAGCACGGGCACUAGCGACACGGCCCAGCCACCGACCUCCCCAAAAGCCUCCUCCGGGGCACCAAUUCCGAACGAGCCUUGGGGCACGCGGAUGCCUCUGCCCCUCCAGAACCAAGAAGGGAAGAGGAAAACUGGAAGCUAGUGGAGAGGGAAAAUUUAAUUCCAGGGGCAGCCCACCUCCAGACACUUGGAAGAAUGACCUAGUUCACGCCCUAAACCUCUUUGUAACGAGAACUCAAGACAGUUCCCUUGGGGCUGUGGGAAUAGAGGGAAAAAAACUUCAAGCUCUCAGAUGUUGGAGGGCCUGGGAUGGGGGGUGGGGUGACUUCUUGGCCUCAGGUACAAAUUUUGUCCCCGCGACUGCAUUCUUUCCCUCCCUGACUGGGGGUUUGGGAAGUUUUCCUUUUCCUGGAGGAGCUGUUCUCCUCUGGCGUGCUGAUCAGAGAAGGAAUCUCACCAGUGUCCCAGGACUGCAAGGGCAUGCAAAAGUUUAAGACACGUCUGAGAAUGUAAAGGAGCUGAGUUUUCCCUUAAGCCUACUUACUAAUUCACAGUGAUCUUAUUAACACUUCUUUCCUUUCCCUCCCUACAUUUCCAACCUACUGAUUAUUGAAAUAUCCAGUGAUUCCAUUCAGUACCACUAGCCAGAAGUUGCCCCAGCAUCAGUGGUGUGUAGCAGAAAGAACACUGGAGUCCAAACCCCUGGCUUUGAGUUCUGGCUCUGGAACUUCAUGGCUCUGAAAACUUGCAGAAAUCCUCUCUUCUUCUGUUUUCUGGU